rnacentral:rRNA from 1 species
CUGCAGAAGAAGCACCGGCUAACUCCGUGCCAGCAGCCGCGGUAAUACGGAGGGGUGCGAGCGUUUAAUCGGAAUUACUGGGCGUAAAGCGCAUGCAGGUGGUUUGUUAAGUCAGAUGUGAAAGCCCGGGGCUCAACCUCGGAAUUGCAUUUGAAACUGGCAAACUAGAGUACUGUAGGAGGGGGUAGAAUUUCAGGUGUAGCGGUGAAAUGCGUAGAGAUCUGAAGGAAUACCGGUGGCGAAGGCGGCCCCCUGGACAGAUACUGACACUCAGAUGCGAAAGCGUGGGGAGCAAACAGGAUUAGAUACCCUGGUAG